rnacentral:lncRNA from 1 species
UGGGUACCAGGACAGCAGCAAGGUCCAAGUGGGCAGAAUGAAGGGCAUGGGAUAGGUAGCCAGGGAGUCCUGAUUCCUGGACAAUCAUGGGACCCUCUGUGUGACUUGGUUUCCAUCCUCUAGGAACAAGACCCCUGUCCGCCAUGCACCUCUGAGGAGAUUAUAGGAUGGAUGAAAGAGAGCCUCUUGAAAGGACCAGCUCCCACUCCAGAUAAUUGCUAGGGAUCAAACUCGGGACCUUGGGCUUGUGAGGCAGGCGGCGGAACCACUGAGCUAAA